ACUCAAAGGAAUAGACGGGGACUCACACAAGCGGUGGACCAUGUGGCUUAAUUCGACAACAAACGAAGAACCUUACCAGGACUAGAAAUCUAGUUGACCAUCCUAUGAAAGUAGGACUUCGCAAGACAACUAGACAGGUGCUGCAUGGUUGUCGUCAGUUCGUGUCUUGAGACGUUCCCUUAAUUGGGGUAACGAACGCAACCCUUGCCCUGUGUUUUACAUGUCACAGGGGACUGCCCGAGAUAAUUGGGAGGAAGGUGAGGAUGACGCCAAAUCAGCAUGGCCCUUGACGUCCUGGGCUGCACACGUGGUACAAUGGCCGGUACAAUGGGCUCCAGAACCGUAAGGCGAAGGAUAAUCCCACCAAAGCCGGUCUCAGUUCGGAUUGAGGGCUGAAACUCGCCCUCAUGAAGCUGGAAUCGCUAGUAAUCGCCAAUCAGCUACGUGGCGAUGAAUACGUUCCUGAGUCUUGUACACACCGCCCGU
rnacentral:rRNA from 1 species